CCCGAUUCAUAACUAGAAAGUUUCUCCGGCCCUUUGCUAAUCGGGGAUAAAACUCCGGAAAUUAGAAAUGCUAAAAUAGGAAUAACACUUGAUAUUAUUAGAAAUGCCCAGAAUAUAUCAUAUUCGUAAAUCAGAAACAUAGGCGCACUCCUAUGAAUGUGGAAAAUAUACUAGAUUAGUCGAGUCGAAUUGGAAUUAAUUCCUAACUCAUCUAUAACCGGUUAGUCAAAACAACAAUUUAUUUUGAUUCAACCACCUAGUUUUUUUUGUUUGCUUUGGUAUAUGUCUCGUUUCAAGAUUCGUCGACUAUAAUUUUUCCAUUACGUUUACUUCAAUUUUUGAAUUUUUUUUCGAUAUUGAUAUAAUAUUGAUAUAGUAUAAAUAGAUAUUGCUCUUAUAUAAAAUAUAAAGAAGACCCCCCCUUCCGCCUUUUCACUUCACCUUUGAUUCUCUCUAAAAAAGAGGGAAUUCAAAAUAUAAUUCUCAUUUUUUG
rnacentral:misc_RNA from 1 species